CUCUCCUCUCCUCUCCUCUCCUCUCCUCUGAAAUGAGUGCCUACAGUACAACAGGCCUUGACAGGACAAAGCAGCACAGUAGACAGGCAGCCUCCUGUGAUCUAAAGCAACCCACAACAGUAUCCUAGAAAACAUUGUUAUAUACUGUAAAAACAAAAAUCACAUCUGGCACUGAAAUCUACUAUGCUACAACAAACAUAUGACAUUUUCACACAUCUGAUACUUGGCUUAGUUUAGACAGUAGCUAAGUUGGCUAGUUGGCUAUUUGGAUAAGAUCUCUGUGGACAACACUGAGGUGUAAAAAGUGAGGGUAAUUUAACAAAAGCAAUAAUCUAUGACUUCAGUCGACAAAACAAUGCACCUCAUUGCUGGAACCAAUUGCAAAAUACACUUCAAUUGGACACACAGCUUGGGCAUUUUAAAAUAUUGAUUGGGGAACUGUUAGCUGAGGAAUGUGGCUGUUUUUCAGGAUGGUUUGUUGUACUUGUAUUUUAGUUAGUUUUGAUUUGUCUAUGUAUUGCAUGUGCAGGGCUUCCCUGUGAAAGAAACCCUGGUCUCAAUGGUGACUCCCUGUUUAAAUAGAAAUAGAAAUAGAAAAAUAAAAAAUAAAAAUAAAAAGUGACAUGGAUUAAAAAAAAUUGGCAAUUCAAAACCUCUGACAAGAUUGUUUUCAUGCAACAUCCUCUGCUUGUUUUGUAGCAACUAAUACCAAAGGGGAAACCUGACCUCAAUCCUUGAUAUAGGCUUUAUUGCAUAUUUGUUGAAUUAUGAACAUUUUAAGAAAGAUUUAACAUAUAAGAACACAAAAGAUAAAUAAAAAAAAAACUACUAAAAAAGACAACCUUUACACAAAAAGAGAUUGCAGUCAGAGCGCAGUAUAACUGCAAUCUUUUUCCAUAAAGGGAAAUUUAACAAACUAUAGCCUCUUUACUCAGUUAACAAUUAAUUUGUAAAAUAUUAAGGCAUUUUUGUCUUUGGUUGCUUAUAAUAGUGGCACUUAUCAACAUAACAUAACUUAUCAACAUAAACAGGGUAGUGUGUAGUGGGCUAAGUGCUAGUCAUUAACACAGUGUGUAGUGGGCUAAGCACUAGUCAUUAACACAGUGUGUAGUGGGCUAAGCGCUAGUCAUUAACACAGUGUGUAGUGGGCUAAGCGCU
ensembl:lncRNA